rnacentral:rRNA from 1 species
AUUGAACGCUGGCGGAAUGCUUUACACAUGCAAGUCGAACGGCAGCACGGACUUCGGUCUGGUGGCGAGUGGCGAACGGGUGAGUAACAUAUCGGAACGUAUCCAAUAAUGGGGGAUAACGAGUCGAAAGAUUCGCUAAUACCGCAUACGCCCUACGGGGGAAAGCUGGGGACCUUCGGGCCUGGCGUUAAUGGAGCGGCCGAUAUCAGAUUAGGUAGUUGGUGGGGUAAAGGCUCACCAAGCCAACGAUCUGUAGCUGGUCUGAGAGGACGACCAGCCACACUGGAACUGAGACACGGUCCAGACUCCUACGGGAGGCAGCAGUGGGGAAUUUUGGACAAUGGACGCAAGUCUGAUCCAGCCAUUCCGCGUGCAGGAUGAAGGCCCUCGGGUUGUAAACUGCUUUUGUACGGAACGAAAAGGUCUCUCUUAAUACGGGGGACUCAUGACGGUACCGUAAGAAUAAGCACCGGCUAACUACGUGCCAGCCGCCGCGGUAA